ensembl:snRNA U6 U6 spliceosomal RNA
GUGCUUGCUUCGGCAGCACAUACACUAAAAUUGGAAUGAAACAUAAGAUUAUCAUGGCCCCUGCACAAGGAUGACAUGCAAAUUUGUGAAGCAUUCCAUAUUUUU